GCAAAUUAAAAAUCACUUGUAAUAAAAAUAAAAAUAGAUAAAAGAAUAAGAAAAGGAUUGCAAUUCAUUUGAAGAUUAUAGCAGGCUGAUUGACAUAGUAAUCUAAGCUGAAAAAAGGCCAGAAAGGAAUUUAUAUUGAUUUUAUGAUUCGAAUUAACAAAACAGAGCAACAAUAGUUCUACCAACAACAUCACAAUAUUAAGAAAAGAAGCAAAGGUAUAUGCAUAUUAACAAAAUCUAUGGUGUUACCUUUUUCCGAUAACAGAGCUUGGU
rnacentral:misc_RNA from 1 species